GACAUGCUAGUCACGUGCUUCAGCCAAAACGAGGCACGGCAAACAGCUCAGUAACACGUGGCUAAUCUGCCCUUAGGACGCGAACAACCCCGGGAAACUGGGGCUAAUUCUCGAUAGGUGAAGAACUCUGGAAUGAGUCUUUGCCUAAAAGAGCUUACGUUAUGCUCGUAAGUUUCGCCUAAGGAUGAGGCCGCGACCGAUCAGGUUGUUGGUGGGGUAAUGGCUCACCAAGCCUUUUACCGGUGCGGGCCGUGAGAGCGGGAGCCCGGAGAUGGGCACUGAGACAAGGGCCCAGGCCCUACGGGGCGCAGCAGUCGCGAAAACUUUGCAAUACACGAAAGUGUGACAGGGCUAUCCCGAGUGCCAUCCGCUGAGGAAGGCUUUUACCCAGUCUAGAACGCUGGGGGAAUAAGGAGAGGGCAAGUCUGGUGUCAGCCGCCGCGGUAAUACCAGCUCUCCGAGUGGUGUGGAUGUUUAUUGGGCCUAAAGCAUCCGUAGCUGGCUAGGUAAGUCCCCUGUUAAAUCCACCGAAUUAAUCGUUGGAUCGCGGGGGAUACUGCUUGGCUAGGGGACGAGAGAGGCAGACGGUAUUUUUGGGGUAGGGGUGAAAUCCUAUAAUCCCAGGAAGACCACCAGUGGCGAAAGGCUGUCUGCUAGAACGCGCCCGACGGUGAGGGAUGAAAGCUGGGGGAGCGAACCGGAUUAGAUACCCGGGUAGUCCCAGCUGUAAACGAUGCAGACUAGGUGUUUGGACGGCCACGUGCCGUUCUAGUGCCGCAGGAAGCUGUUAAGUCUGCCGCCUGGGAGUACGAUCGCAGAUUGAACUUAA
rnacentral:rRNA from 1 species